rnacentral:rRNA from 1 species
UACGAAGGGGGCUAGCGUUGUUCGGAUUUACUGGGCGUAAAGCGCACGUAGGCGGAUCGAUCAGUCAGGGGUGAAAUCCCAGAGCUCAACUCUGGAACUGCCUUUGAUACUGUCGAUCUGGAGUAUGGAAGAGGUGAGUGGAAUUCCGAGUGUAGAGGUGAAAUUCGUAGAUAUUCGGAAGAACACCAGUGGCGAAGGCGACUCACUGGACAUGUAUUGACGCUGAGGUGACGAAAGCGUGGGGAGCAAACAGG